rnacentral:rRNA from 1 species
CUACGGGAGGCAGCAGUAGGGNAUCUUCCGCAAUGNGACGGAAAGUCUGACGGAGCAACGCCGCGUGAGUGAUGAAGGCUUUCGGGUCGUAAAACUCUGUUGUUAGGGAAGAACAAGUACGAGAGUAACUGCUCGUACCUUGACGGUACCUAACCAGAAAGCCACGGNCUAACUACGUGCCAGCAGCCGCGGUAAUACGUAGGUGGCAAGCGUUAUCCGGAAUUAUUGGGCGUAAAGCGCGCGCAGGCGGUUUCUUAAGUCUGAUGUGAAAGCCCACGGCUCAACCGUGGAGGGUCAUUGGAAACUGGGGAACUUGAGUGCAGAAGAGAAAAGCGGAAUUCCACGUGUAGCGGUGAAAUGCGUAGAGAUGUGGAGGAACACCAGUGGCGAAGGCGGCUUUUUGGUCUGUAACUGACGCUGAGGCGCGAAAGCGUGGGGAGCAAACAGGAUUAGAUACCCUGGUAGUCCACGCCGUAAACGAUGAGUGCUAAGUGUUAGAGGGUUUCCGCCCUUUAGUGCUGCAGCUAACGCAUUAAGCACUCCGCCUGGGG